ACGAGUGCAUAUAGGUGACGGUCGCGAAAUAUAGUAGCAGCCAUCUUAUAUUUUGUGUCGGAGAAAAACAAUUUGGCCGUACAAAUGUUUCGUGAUUGUCCGUGAAGCCGCUCGAGAACGGGAGGCGUGCGCUCGAUGAGGCGUGACGUUUUUCGACCCUAGCCCGGACCACUACAUUAGCAAAGAGGUUCCCUGUCAUGCAGGUGGAUUGGUACGCAGGAUAUGAGCAGCUUGUCAAGCGCAACCUGACUCUGCUCCCCCAUCAAGAAGCAGUGCAGCAGCAGGAGCCACAGUCACAACAGCUGGCUCAGCAGCAACAGACUGAUAUAAUGACGUCCAUGUUUGAACAACAAAUCAAAAGCGAACCCAUAGGGUUUUAUUCUGUUGCUUCAAGUCGUUCGGAUGGUUCAAAUUCUAUGGUGAAUUUAUCCGAUGAUCGUGAAGACCUGUCACAACAAGAAGGUCAUUUACAACCCCAGCAACAGACAACACUACAACUAAACCAACAGGGUCAACAGCAAACUCAACAACAGAGUCAGCAACAAACGCAACAGGGUCAACAACAGCAGAGUCAGAGUGUGCAACAAGAAGUUCCAAGCCGUCAGUCGACGGGACAACAAACAGUUAAAGAAGGUUCGCGGUCAAAGCCACAACCCUGUAAGGUAUGCGGCAAGGUGCUAUCUUCUGCUUCAUCGUACUAUGUACAUAUGAAACUUCAUUCGGGCAACAAACCAUAUCAUUGUACAGUAUGCGAAGCAAGUUUUUGCCGGAAACCAUACUUGGAAGUGCACAUGAGGACGCACACAGGAGAAAGACCUUUCCAAUGUGAGCUGUGCUUGAAAAGGUUUACUCAAAAGAGCAGUCUUAAUACUCAUAAACGUGUGCACACAGGAGAAAGACCAUAUGCCUGUGACAUUUGUCAGAAACGUUUUGCAGUGAAAAGCUACGUGACAGCACACCGUUGGAGCCAUGUUGCUGAAAAGCCUUUAGUGUGUGACAGAUGUUCUCUCACAUUCACGUCCAAGAGUCAAUUCGCAAUACACAUCCGUACCCAUACUGCAAGUACUACGUACGAGUGUAACAUAUGCGGACGUACAUUUGUACGUGACAGUUAUCUCAUACGGCAUCAAAACCGAGUGCACCGUGAUAUGAAUCAAAGCAGUACCAAUCACAAUCCACCUACACCCCAAAGUACCGGUGGUGGCACACCAGGUACAGGGUUCGAGAGUCCAGUUUGUGAUUUACGCUACAGCGAAGGACCUUCGUCGUUGGACGGCUUAGCAGGUUCUAAAGGAGGCAUCGCAGCUGAAAUUGCAAGUUUAGCCAAGCAAAAUAAUCUUCAACUUCCUCUACCACUGCUACAUCCGCAGACUACCAACUAGUGUUUAGAUGACAGCGUGUCCGAGUCCCUACCGCAACAUCAAUCACCGCAGCAAGUAAAUCCACCGUCUCCUUUCAUGUCGGUCGGUUCGGUGCGGACUUCCGGCAGAGGCUCGAAGCAGUUCCUGGUCCGACUUUGAACCCUUUGGGUGCUUUAUCGUGCCGGCUGAUCGGCCCUACACAUUUGUGAUACUCGGUUCCGCACAGCCCUGGCUCGGACGUUUAAUACUCUCGCUCGUCUCCUGGUACGAGCAGCGCGUGAUGUAAUUAAAUCGACUUUCGUGGGUCGUUGGUGGGGGUAGGGUGAGGGGUGAGGAUUGGAUUAAUCAGCGAAGACCAGCGGGAAGGUGGGAGGGUUGGUCCGGUUGAUAAGAACCACGUGAAUCGAGGGUGGUAUACGAAUUUAAUAAGAGCGAAAUCAAUCUCGAUUUAUUAUCGAGACUGGUCUACCUUUUAGAAUAGGAGUGGGGAGUCGUUAAGGCGGUGGGGAGUGGGGGUAUGAUGUAUGGGCAGACUGAGUGGGGAAAGGAACGGGAGUGGGGGGUGAAGCGCGAGUGGCGGGCGAGGAUGAUGAGCUGAGAAAGAAACGGUAAGAGUAAAAAUGAUGAAACGAUGCUCGCGUCGCUCGACAUUGCGCCUGUACCAUUUUGCUUCUUUAGCAGAGUACAAUGCCAUUUAUUUUUGUAAUACGUUUACGUAGGAUAGCUAUUAUUUUUAUAGAGGUUUACCGUGCUACCAGUAAGUCUUAUAGAGGCCUGCGAAAUAAAAUAGUGUAGGAUUUUUCAUAGGAGCCGCGGAUUCCAUGAUAUAAGAUAUAAGGUUACCUGGGAUUCGAUGUGUAACGAUGUUUAAAAGGAGACACGCACUUCUAGUACUGGCUUUUGUUUUCGGUUAUCGUACACGUUCACGCGUUUUUCUUCUGUGAGAUCCAUAUAGCGGGAACACCCAGAGCAAUGCUUCUUUAGGGGCGAUGCGGUCCACCAAAAUAAACAAGCAAUUCGUAUCUUAAGGUCACGUGACACCGUUAAACCUCGUUUAGGCUGAACCUUGCCAGUUUGCCGCAGUUCUAGAAAAAGGAAGGGAACACAGACAGCAAUAAAGGAAGUGGAUAGAUGAUAAAAUGUUUCUAUACGAGAGUAGGCGAUCGUGGCCGUCUUGACGAUAAUUUCUGGCAUCUCGAAUUUUCAUUUUCGCAUCCAAUUGGAUGAUCGAUUAUCGUGGAGGCGGUGCAACGUAGACGAUAAUAACACGCAAUACUUCUUCCGCUGAUUGCUGCUUUUCGUGAGGUUAACUCCGGAUGAACUUCCAGGCAGGUCUCUCGAUGCGUGUCCUACGGUAAUAUUAAGUUUUAAAGUUGAAAGAGAACUGUGUAUAUUUUAUGAAAAAAGAUAUAGUAAGGUCAUACAUAUCUACAAAUAGAUUUAUAUA